GGUUGAUCCUGCCAGUAGUCAUAUGCUUGUCUCAAAGAUUAAGCCAUGCAUGUCUAAGUAUAAACAAAUUUGUACUGUGAAACUGCGAAUGGCUCAUUAAAUCAGUUAUAAUUUAUUUGAUGGUACCUUACUACAUGGAUAACUGUGGUAAUUCUAGAGCUAAUACAUGCAUCAAAGCCCCAACUUCUGGAAGGGGUGUAUUUAUUAGAUUAAAAACCAACGCGGCUCGCCGCUCCUUUGGUGACUCAUAAUAACUUCUCGAAUCGCAUGGCCUUGUGCCGGCGAUGCUUCAU
rnacentral:rRNA from 1 species